AAUCAUGACAACUUCUAUAAAUGAAUCUAGACAUUGGCUUAUCUUAUCCUACAAAAAAGAAGAUGGGGUAGCUGCUGGAGUCUCGGAUCAUGGAGAAUGGGAGGAUCAGUGCUACCGAAAGCAUCGAUCCAUCACUCUUGGGUCAAUAAAGGAAUUCAAUUUUGACAGCACAAAGUCAGAAUUUUCAGAUAAGCCUACCAAUGGCUCAGAGUGGUGGGCUAAUGAAAAAGUAGCUGGAAAGGAAUCUAAGCCUGGCAACGGUUGGACUUUCUUUCCCAUUUUGCAGCCAGGAGUCAGCUAACGUAGAAAAUAUUUCAUCAUAGCUUCCCCUCUGUGAAAGGAUGGCAACUGUAAAGCAGCUAACCCAUCUGUUGUAAAUCUGGAGUUAUACAAUUUUGAAGAUACGGCUACAGCUUGGCAAAACUUGGGAUCAAAUUGUUGUUGGAUGAAUGGAUGGAUUGCAGAGAUGAAAGAACUGCUUAUGAAUGUGUUAGGAGCAGAAACAAGAUGCAGAGAGGAGAUAAUUUUCUAGGAAUUAGUGUGAGUACUGAUAGAGCAUUCUUUGUAAUAUUUCUUGAUGUUAUACAAAGGGAUAGCAUUCGCUUAUAGGGGGUUUUGUUGUGGACUACUUUUUCUUGUAAUGUGUAACAAUAAAAAAAUGAAGAAGCUCAUAUUUCCACAUUUUUUAAGAGACCUCUAAAUCAUUUGGUGAUC